AGAGUUUGAUCCUGGCUCAGGAUGAACGCUAGCGGCAGGCUUAACACAUGCAAGUCGAGGGGUAACAGGGAGCUUGCUUCGCUGACGACCGGCGCACGGGUGCGUAACGCGUAUGAAACCUACCUUAUACAGGGGGAUAGCCCGAAGAAAUUCGGAUUAAUACCCCAUAGUUCUAUGUUAUCGCAUGGUAAUAUAGAUAAAGCUUUGGUGGUAUAAGAUGGUCAUGCGUAUGAUUAGCUAGUUGGUGAGGUAACGGCUCACCAAGGCGACGAUCAUUAGCGGUUCUGAGAGGAAGAUCCCCCACACUGGUACUGAGACACGGACCAGACUCCUACGGGAGGCAGCAGUGAGGAAUAUUGGUCAAUGGGCGAGAGCCUGAACCAGCCAUGCCGCGUGAAGGAUGACUGCCCUAUGGGUUGUAAACUUCUUUUCUAUAGGGAUAAAAAGCGGAACGUGUUCUGCCUUGCAGGUACUAUAGGAAUAAGCACCGGCUAACUCCGUGCCAGCAGCCGCGGUAAUACGGAGGGUGCGAGCGUUAUCCGGAUUUAUUGGGUUUAAAGGGUGCGUAGGCGGUCUUAUAAGUCAGUGGUGAAAUUCUGUGACUCAACCAUAGAAGUGCCAUUGAAACUGUAGGACUUGAAUUUAUUUGAGGUAUGCGGAAUGUGUAAUGUAGCGGUGAAAUGCUUAGAUAUUACACAGAACACCGAUUGCGAAGGCAGCAUACUAAGAUACGAUUGACGCUGAUGCACGAAGGCGUGGGUAGCGAACAGGAUUAGAUACCCUGGUAGUCCACGCCGUAAACGAUGAUCACUGGUUGUAUGCGACAUAUUGUAUGUGACCGAGGGAAACCAUUAAGUGAUCCACCUGGGGAGUACGCCCGCAAGGGUGAAACUCAAAGGAAUUGACGGGGGCCCGCACAAGCGGAGGAACAUGAGGUUUAAUUCGAUGAUACGCGAGGAACCUUACCCGGGCUUAAAUGUAGAGUGCAUUAGGGGGAAACCCUUAUUUCCUUCGGGACUCUUUACAAGGUGCUGCAUGGUUGUCGUCAGCUCGUGCCGUGAGGUGUCGGGUCAAGUCCCAUAACGAGCGCAACCCCUAUCGUUAGUUGCUAACAGGUCAAGCUGAGGACUCUAACGAGACUGCCGGUGUAAACCGCGAGGAAGGUGGGGAUGACGUCAAAUCAGCACGGCCCUUACGUCCGGGGCUACACACGUGUUACAAUGGAUAGUACAAAGGGCAGCUACUUGGUGACAAGAUGCUAAUCUCAAAAGCUAUUCAUAGUUCGGAUCGGAGUCUGCAACUCGACUCCGUGAAGUUGGAUUCGCUAGUAAUCGUAGAUCAGCAACGCUACGGUGAAUACGUUCCCGGGCCUUGUACACACCGCCCGUCAAGCCAUGGAAGCUGGGGGUGCCUGAAGUCUGUAACCGCAAGGAGCGGCCUAGGGUAAAACUAGUAACUAGGGCUAAGUCGGAACAAGGUA
rnacentral:rRNA from 1 species